AUUGAACGCUGGCGGCAGGCCUAACACAUGCAAGUCGAGCGGAGCGGCGGACGGGUGAGUAAUGCCUAGGAAUCUGCCUGGUAGUGGGGGAUAACGUCCGGAAACGGGCGCUAAUACCGCAUACUAUCAGAUGAGCCUCGGCCGUAUUAGCUAGUUGGUGGGGUAAAGGCCUACCAGGGCGACGAUCCGAAACUGGUCUGAGAGGAUGAUCAGUCACAUUGGAACUGAGACACGGUCCAGACUCCUACGGGAGGCAGCAGUGGGGAAUAUUGGACAAUGGGCGAAAGCCUGAUCCAGCAAGGCCGCGUGUGUGAAGAAGGUCUUCGGAUUGUAAAGCACUUUAAGUUGGGAGGCGUUACCAACAGAAUAAGCACCGGCUAACUACGUGCCAGCAGCCGCGGUAAUUC
rnacentral:rRNA from 1 species